rnacentral:rRNA from 1 species
AAUCAACGCUGGCGGCGUGCCUAACACAUGCAAGUCGCACGAGAAAGGGACUUCGGUCCUGAGUACAGUGGCGCACGGGUGAGUAACACGUGAAUCAUCUACCUUCGAGUGGGGAAUAACUGAGAGAAAUCUUAGCUAAUACCGCAUAAUACCUACGGGUCAAAGCAGCAAUGCGCUUGAAGAGGAGUUCGCGGCAGAUUAGUUAGUUGGCAGGGUAAUGGCCUACCAAGACGAUGAUCUGUAUCCGGCCUGAGAGGGCGCACGGACACACUGGAACUGAAACACGGUCCAGACUCCUACGGGAGGCAGCAGUGGGGAAUUUUGCGCAAUGGGGGAAACCCUGACGCAGCAACGCCGCGUGGAGGAUGAAAUCCCUUGGGAUGUAAACUCC